CUUUUUCGGCGAAAUUUCGCCGAAAUUUCCGAAAUUUCGCAUUUUUCAGUGAGGUCCGAAAAAAUUUUUGUAUCGGUCAAAUUUUUCGGUUAAAUUCAUGUUUCGCUUCAAAAUUACUCCAAACAACAAUAAAAUGACCCACCAUAUCUUCUAGUCUUAUCAAAGCCCUAAAUUUCUUCAAAAUUAUUUAAUUUUCUCACUCACAUAUUCCGUGACACUAGCAUAUGCAGCUCGCCCACCGUCAGCCCGCUAUACUACCGCAAUAAUAUAUUGUGUUAUUUCGUUAAUAUUAUAUAAAUUUGUGAUGAGUGAUAUAUUAGAAAGCUUUUUUAGUAAAAUGAUGUCAAAUUUUUUAAAAAAUCAAUUUGAAUUUAUUUAAAUUUCAUCCGAAAUUUCUGAAAUGUCCGAAAUUUCUUAUUUAUCGGCAGGUGCCGAAAAAAUUUUCCUACCGAAAAAGAAAACCU
rnacentral:lncRNA from 1 species